rnacentral:rRNA from 1 species
AACGAACGCUGGCGGCAUGCCUAACACAUGCAAGUCGAACGAGAAGCUAACUUCGGCUAGUGGAGAGUGGCGCACGGGUGAGUAAUACAUGGAAAUCUAACCUUGCACUCGGGGGAUAACAGUUAGAAAUGACUGCUAAUACCGCAUACGCCAUAUUGGGAAAACCUCCGGGGGUGUAAGAUGAGUCCAUGCCUGAUUAGCUAGUUGGUAGGGUAAAGGCCUACCAAGGCGACGAUCAGUAGCGGGUUUGAGAGGAUGAUCCGCCACACUGGUACUGAGACACGGACCAGACUCCUACGGGAGGCAGCAGUGGGGAAUAUUGCGCAAUGGGCGAAAGCCUGACGCAGCAAUGCCGCGUGAAUGAUGAAGGUUCUAGGAUUGUAAAGUUCUUUUAGCAGGGAAGAUAGUGACGGUACCUGCAGAAAAAGUCCCGGCUAACUCCGUG